rnacentral:rRNA from 1 species
UACGUAGGGCGCAAGCGUUGUCCGGAAUUAUUGGGCGUAAAGAGCUCGUAGGCGGUUUGUCGCGUCUGUCGUGAAAGCUUGGGGCUUAACCCCAAGUCUGCGGUGGAUACGGGCAGACUAGAGGCAGGUAGGGGAGAACGGAAUUCCCGGUGUAGCGGUGAAAUGCGCAGAUAUCGGGAGGAACACCGGUGGCGAAGGCGGGUCUCUGGGCAGUAACUGACGCUGAGGAGCGAAAGCGUGGGGAGCGAACAGG